CACGCCGUAAACGAUGAGUGCUAGGUGUUGGGGGCUUUCAUGCCCUCUGUGCCGAAGGCAACCCAAUAAGCACUCCGCCUGGGGAGUACGGCCGCAAGGCUGAAACUCAAAGGAAUUGACGGGGGCCCGCACAAGCGGUGGAGCAUGUGGUUUAAUUCGAAGCAACGCGAAGAACCUUACCAGGGCUUGACAUCCCGCUGACCGGUGUAGAGAUACACCUUCCCUUCGGGGCAGCGGUGACAGGUGG
rnacentral:rRNA from 1 species